rnacentral:rRNA from 1 species
CCUACGGGAGGCAGCAGUGGGGAAUAUUGCACAAUGGGGGAAACCCUGAUGCAGCGACGCCGCGUGAGCGAAGAAGUAAUUCGUUAUGUAAAGCUCUAUCAGCAGGGAAGAAAAUGACGGUACCUGAGUAAGAAGCCCCGGCUAACUACGUGCCAGCAGCCGCGGUAAUACGUAGGGGGCAAGCGUUAUCCGGAUUUACUGGGUGGAAAGGGAGCGUAGACGGCAGUGCAAGUCUGGAGUGAAAGGCGGGGGCUCAACCCCCGGACUGCUCUGGAAACUGUACGGCUGGAGUGCAGGAGAGGUAAGUGGAAUUCCUAGUGUAGCGGUGAAAUGCGUAGAUAUUAGGAGGAACACCAGUGGCGAAGGCGGCUUACUGGACUGUAACUGACGUUGAGGCUCGAAAGCGUGGGGAGCAAACAGGAUUAGAUACCCUAGUAGUC